rnacentral:rRNA from 1 species
GCUUACGGCCAUACCAGCCUGGGUACGCCCGAUCUCGUCUGAUCUCGGAAGCUUAGCAGGGUCGGGCCUGGUUAGUACUUGGAUGGGAGACCGCCUGGGAAUACCAGGUGCUGUAAGCA